rnacentral:rRNA from 1 species
ACGAACGCUGGCGGCGUGCUUAACACAUGCAAGUCGAACGGAAAGGCCUGCUUUCCCUUGUGGAUUGCGGGUACUCGAGUGGCGAACGGGUGAGUAACACGUGAGUGAUCUGCCCCCAACUUGGGUAUAAGCCUGGGAAACUGGGUCUAAUUCCCGAUAGGACUGCAGGGUGGUGCCUGUGGUGGAAAACGAUUUUCUAGUGGUUGGGGAUGAGCUCGCGGCCUAUCAGCUUGUUGGUGGGGUAAUGGCCUACCAAGGCGGCGACGGGUAGCCGGCCUGAGAGGGUGGACGGGCACAUUGGGACUGAGAUACGGCCCAGACUCCUACGGGAGGCAGCAGUGGGGAAUAUUGCACAAUGGGCGGAAGCCUGAUGCAGCGACGCCGCGUGGGGGAUGACGGCCUUCGGGUUGUAAACUCCUUUCGACCGCGAGGAAGCCACCUGGUUGGAAGGGUGGUGACGGUAGUGGUAGAAGAAGCACCGGCUAACUACGUG